CAUCAAUCAGCGAUACUUCGAUAUCCGAGGGAAAUACCUGAAGGCCCUCUAAUGAAGGCCAUUGGGGCCCACAGGUACUGAACUGAAAACGGGCAACUUGAAUAAAUACAGCGUGUCAGGCGUGACCUAAGCGAUCUCGCCAGGCUCAGC